GGAAAAACAGCCUGGCAGCAAAGCCAUCUCUCCCCAUUCCUUGAUCUGUCACACUAACCCCUGGCUGGUGCACAUCAAAAUGUGCAGAGAAUCUGAAGAGAAGAGCAAUGUUUCCACCCGGUUCCAGAUCAUGAGUGGGCUUCCCACUCAAUGGAUGAAAAUGAGACUCCUUUUGCUACUGUCCACAUCCUCCUGAACAGCUCUGGCACAACCGAUGGUUCUCACUUUCACUGCACUGCUGGUUACAGGAAGCAAAAGCAGGAACCUGGCUUGUUCCACGCUGGGUUCCAACAGAAGAACACAUCAGCCUUUGGGAAACAUCCCUGCCUCCAAAAAGGAUCCAUGGCCUGGACACAGGACACUGGAAGUGGAAGAAUGA